AUGUUCAGCGCUGCCACUACAAUAUCACUUGGCAAUGGACAGACCGCACGGUUUUGGACUGACAAUUGGCUGCCAAAUGGGAGAUUGAUUGCGGCCUCUACGCCAACUCUGUUCUCCUAUGUCAGAGACUCUGGCAUGUCGGUCAGCGAAGCCUUGCAAGGGCAGUGCUGGGUCAGACAUAUCGCGGGCGGCAUCUCCGUGCAGGCGCUCGCACAGUAUCUCACCAUCUGGGAUACCACUCACGCCACGAACCUGACUUCUGGGGUGACUGAUCGGGCUCUUUGGAGGCUCUCGAAGAACCGGCAAUUCUCUGUUAGUAGUGCAUACAGUUUAUUCUUCAUGGCUAACGAGCGUUUCGCCUGCAACAAGCCAAUCUGGAAGUCUAUGCCCCCUCACGGUGCAAGUUUUUCAUGUGGCUUGUGGUGCAUGGCAAAUGCCUGA
rnacentral:rRNA from 1 species